rnacentral:misc_RNA from 1 species
CUUCUGCAUUUCAAGUUAAGUGAAAUUGUUACAACCCGAUAAAAUCCAGAAUUGGGAUUCAGGAUUGUUCUAAGCAGGAACCAUCAUUACAGUCCUUAAUCACCUCAAUUGGUGAUUGUUUUCCUGAUAUAUUAUUGUCACAAUUUCACUUAACUUGAAAUGCAGAAGCUUAUACAUCAAUGUUUAAUCCUUACAACUUUGUACGACCAAAGGAUCCUUUGAAAGAACUGUGAAGAGGUUGUGAUCUUCUGAAACUAUAAAUAUCCUCUAUCUGAACCUUGUUCAGCUCAGCUUGCUCACCUGUAUCUGAUGUG